UGGCAAUAAUUUUCGGAGGCUAUUUGGUGUACUUAUUGCAUAAAACCAUGAACGAGGCAGGUGUCUCCAGGAAUUCUCUGAAAUUUUUGAGACCGAACUCUAGGUAAAAGACACAAACUGAGCACUUACUGCUGAUCAAGGUGAACUGUGGCUGUUCCUGUUUGCUGUAUUGCAAGUUCAUCUGCUGAAUUCUCUUGUGUUUUCUACAGCCCCCUGGCACCCAAGGUAUAAAAUCCUAUCAUCUGAAGGUCAAAGAACACAUUUGGAAAGUACAAAUACCAAGUACAAGACUGGGCAGUUGAAAAUUAAAACCGUACGUAAUGCCCAGUGUGACAUUUUGGAUGUAAAAUGUAAUACAGUUCAUUUCAAAUUGGAUGGCCAUUGUCAAUCUAGAACACUGUUUGAUCUGCAAUUUAUAUUGAGAUGAGGCAGAAAGUAUUUUUCUGCCUUAGCUUCUUGGCUUUUAAUACAAUGUUUCACAGAUGUCUGACCUUUGGGUUUUAAUGUGAUAAUGUGGCUUCCCCUGCACAAAGGCCUAAAAGCUGAUUGUCAGACAGAAGUUGUUUUUCAAAGAACAGUGAUCCCAAAUUGUGUACAAAAAUGAUGCCAUGUAUUUUGUAGAUGCUUACAUAUAUCAAUUAUAGUUGUUCCUGGGGUAUUUUAAGAAUGGUAGGUAAAUAUAAAAUAUUAAAGCAGUAAUUAAAUAUUUUAAAAUUUAGUCACUUGAGAAAAUGUUUAACUCUCCUUGGGAAGUUGAAUGUACUUUAUCACAGUUGGUAAUUUUUCUUGAAGUUUUAUUGUAUGUACUGCCACAUGGGCUCAUGGCUCUUUUGUUGUCAUCGUUAUUUCUAUUCAGCAUCAUUUAAUCUGCACAUUAAAAUGUUACUAGUUAUUUUUUUCACAUUCUCACUACAUCCUUGAACUCUCUAAUGCAGGUUACAUGCUGACAUUCAAUAUCUUUCCUAGCAUUUUCUUCAUAGAUUUCCAAAUUGAUGACAAUAAGUAGAUGGACAAAAGCCAUUUUCUAUUACUUGACAUCUAUUAUUAAUUAACUGAUAUCCU
rnacentral:lncRNA from 9 species